UCUGUUUCCCGAUCAAAGCAGCAUGAGGCCAUCACCAGAAGCUGAGCAGGAGCCAGCACCACAUUCUAUAUCAACUAAACUAUUACAGCAACAAGAGAGGAUAUGCUUUAUUGGACUUGGGGAGACUGUGGCAAGCAACUAUGUGUGUCUUUUCCAAUUGCCCUGAUUCCAUAAUUUUCACUUCUAAAGAGAAGAACAUAUUAGCAAGAGUAAACUAACUAUAGAAGCAAAGAUGCAAGGUGCACGGCAUGGAAAGAAUGGCAGCAAAAAAGCUCAAAAUGUGGCUAGGAGACAAACUGUGAAGGUUCUGGAAGGUGUUAAGAAGGGAGAAGAUUGCUGUGCUUAGAAACAAACUGAGGCUCAAAGGCUUGUCCAAGGCUAUUUAUUACAGAGAAACAGAGGUUCUGGGUUUCAAACUCAGAGAACAAGGGAUGCCCACUGCUGUUCAAGUCCAAGUUAUGCACCUGACCCUGGAUAUUUCCAUCACCUCUACUCCAGAAAACAUCCCAGUGUUUCCUCGCAGGUCCAACUUCUUUUCAACAAAUGAAGCUUUUCCAGAAGGCCAGUGGGCUCCCACUCCAAGCACCUGGGACUCGCGGCCUUCAGAUCUCUCAUGGGGGUCCUUAUGAGAAUUGUAUGAGGGCAUCCUCCAAAACCUCAUGGAAAACACAUAUUAAAGGAAACUUGGCAAGAAUUCCAAAUCUUUGAACCACACAGUAAGCAUAUC